CAAAAUGGGUAUUUUGCAUAACCCAAUAGGGUUAUUACAAUUUUAAAGGUUGGGUAUCGUGAUAUCCCUGAAAUUUUUGUCCCAAAUUAUGAAAUUGUUCCGAGUAUCGUGAUAUCCACCAUUGGGGGUCGCGAUACCAUUAUAUGGUUAACAAAAGUUUCCCAAAUUUUCAUCCUAAUUCCUAACUACACAAAAUUAAAUCCUAUAAAUCCUAAAUUUACUAAUGCAAGAAAUUAAAAGCUAAACUAAACAAGAAAAUUAAAUGGAGUCUCG
rnacentral:lncRNA from 1 species